rnacentral:rRNA from 1 species
AUUGAACGCUGGCGGCAGGCCUAACACAUGCAAGUCGAGCGGAGCGGCAGACGGGUGAGUAUUGCCUAGGAAUCUGCCUGGUAGUGGGGGAUGCCGUUCGGAACCGGGAGCUGUUGCCGCAUCCUAUCACAUGAGCCUAGGUCGGAUUAGCUAGUUGGUGGGGUAAAGGCCUACCAAGACGAAGAUCCCUAACUGGUCUGAGAGGAUGAUCAGGCACACUGGAACUGAGACACGGUCCAGACUCCUACGGGAGGCAGCAGUGGGGAAUAUUGGACAAUGGGCGAAAGCCUGAUCCAGCCAUGCCGCGUGUGUGAAGAAGGUCUUCGGAUUGUAAAGCACUUUAAGUUGGGAGGCGUUACCAACAGAAUAAGCACCGGCUAACUCCGUGCCAGCAGCCGCGGUAAUAC